rnacentral:rRNA from 1 species
GAUGAACGCUAGCGGCAGGCCUAACACAUGCAAGUCGAGGGGUAGAACACUUCGGUGUUUGAGACCGGCGCACGGGUGCGUAACGCGUAUGCAAUCUACCUUGUACAGGGGAAUAGCCCAGAGAAAUUUGGAUUAAUGCCCCAUAGUAUAUAACCUUCGCAUGUUGGUUAUAUUAAAGUUCCAACGGUACAAGAUGAGCAUGCGUCCCAUUAGUUAGUUGGUAAGGUAACGGCUUACCAAGACGAUGAUGGGUAGGGGUCCUGAGAGGGAGAUCCCCCACACUGGUACUGAGACACGGACCAGACUCCUACGGGAGGCAGCAGUGAGGAAUAUUGGUCAAUGGUCGCAAGACUGAACCAGCCAUGCCGCGUGCAGGAAGACGGUCCUAUGGAUUGUAAAACUGCC